ACUCAAAUGAAUAGACGGGGACCCGCACAAGCGGUGGAGCAUGUGGUUUAAUUCGACGAUAAGCGAGGAACCUUACCAAGUCUUGACAUGUAGCUGCAUCUUUUGGAAACAAGAGCGCCUUCGAGGGUGCUACACAGGUGCUGCACGGUUGUCGUCAGCUCGUGCCGUGAGGUGUUCACUUAAGUGUGAAAACGAGCGCAACCCCUAUUACCAGUUACAAGUGUCUGGUGAAACUGCCGGCGUCUAAGCCGGAGGAAGGCGGGGAUGACGUCAAAUCAGCGUGGCUCUUACGACUUGGGCGACACACGUGCUACAAUGGGAUGUAACAAAGGGACGCCAAGGAGCAAUCCGGAGCAAAUCCAUUCAAAACAUUCCUCAGUUCGGAUUGAGGGCUGCAACUCGCCCUCAUGAAGCUGGAAUCGCUAGUAACCGUAGAUCAGCCUCGCUACGGUGAAUACGUUCUCGGGUUUUGCACACACCGCCCGU
rnacentral:rRNA from 1 species